CUUAAUGUUCUGGUCCAUAGAGGUCAGAGUACGACCCUAACAUAGACUUAAUGUUCUGGUCCAUAGAGGUCCAGUAUGUUCUGGUCCAUAGAGGUCCAGUAUGUUCUGGUCCAUAGAGGUCCAGUAUGUUCUGGUCCAUAGACCUCCAGUAUGUUCUGGUCCAUAGACCUCCAGUAUGUUCUGGUCCAUAGAGGUCCAGUAUGUUCUGGUCCAUAGAGGUCCAGUAUGUUCUGGUCCAUAGACCUCCAGUAUGUUCUGGUCCAUAGACCUCCAGUAUGUUCUGGUCCAUAGAGGUCCCACCAUA
rnacentral:lncRNA from 13 species